CUCGGCGCCAUUUUGUCUGGGCAGCGGUGGCCGCAGGUCUACAGCAUUUUAUGUUUCUGGCGAGACGAGAGCGGAAUGUUCAUCCCGUGGAUUCAUGUAACUGCGGCAGCCAUCCACCGUUCCCUCCAGGACAGCACCUAGUGAAGAUCAGAAGAGUAGCGAUCUGUCAGAAAGGUCAGUUGGAAGCGGUAGUUGUCCGGUGGACUGGGGGAUGGCGCAGCUCUAGCGGCACCGGCACCGGAAGUGAGGGGGCCGCGCGUCAGCCAUAGCAGAUUGGUCUGAAGAAAAGAGGACAGUUAAGUGACAAACUUCCGGAAGUAUUACUGAGUCUUUGUCUUCUAGAGGAAGCCUCACUUUGUGGAAUAAUGAAGGAAAGUGUUCCAGUUUUUAAAUGGCUUGGAUCUGCUCUCUGUUGAAAUUGUAUUUCUGCUCCCUGGCUCUUUGUCCACCCUCAUGUUGGAAAUGGUGAGAGAACUGAUGCUGAAUCAUAAGUAUGAUCCAUUGUAGACAUCUAAAUUUUUGCAUUGAAUCUUUACUAUCACUUGGUUGCUGCUCUUAAACCAGUCGGUCUACUAAAGGUUCCUUUGAGAAUGAUAGAAAUGAAAGCAAAGGGAUAGUCUUAUCAGAUAAGUGCUUUUUUAUCUGAAUGUAUUCGGUUUUUUCCAUAACGUGGCUUUAGUAGCACUUAGUUGUCUUUAAUUUCAUUCGAAACAAUUUUGUUAGAUUGUAUUGUGACAGUUGUCAUAUCAGCGUACAUUUUUUUUAAAAAGCAUCAAAAUUGGUGAAUUUUUGUGUAGCCAUUUUAAUAUUGAAGAUGGAAGGAAAAAAAGCAACAGCAUGUUAUGCUUUAUUAUUUCAAGAAAGGUAAAAACACAACUGAAAGGCAAAAAAAGAUUUGUGCAGUGUAUGGAAAAGGUGCUGUGACUGAAUAUGUCAAAAGUGGUUUGCAACGUUUUGUGGUAGAGAGUUCUGGCUGGACGAUGCUCCAUGGUCGGGGAGACCAGUUCAAGUUGAUAGCAAUUAAAUUGAGACGUAAA